AGGACGUCUCCGCAGGUGCUGGUCCGGUUCACCUCCAGCCUCACCAGCAGGAAGCCGCCGACAAACAGGUGGACCUUUUUUUAUGCGGCUAAAAUACGUUUUGUUGCUGAUCCCAACUGGGGGGGUGCUGACCACCGUCUACUUGAUAUCUGACAUUAUUUCAUAAGAAAUCUUGUGAGAAUAAGCGUUGAUAUACCGGCUCUAAGAUGCGGUGGAAGCGACCC